rnacentral:rRNA from 1 species
UACGGGGGGGGCAAGCGUUGUUCGGAAUUACUGGGCGUAAAGGGCUCGUAGGCGGCCAACUAAGUCGGACGUGAAAUCCCCAGGCUCAACCUGGGAACUGCGUCUGAUACUGGAUGGCUUGAAUCCGGGAGAGGGAUGCAGAAUUCCAGGUGUAGCGGUGAAAUGCGUAGAUAUCAGGAGGAACACCGGUGGCGAAGGCGGGUCUCUGGGCCGAUACUGACGCUGAGGAGCGAAAGCGUGGGGAGCAAACAGG